rnacentral:tRNA from 1 species
GUGAUGGUAGCGUAGUGGCUAAAGACCUGGGCUACCAAGCCAGAAAAGUUGUGGGUUCAAUUCCCAGCUUCCACG